rnacentral:rRNA from 1 species
UACGUAGGGGGCAAGCGUUGUCCGGAUUUAUUGGGCGUAAAGAGCGUGUAGGCGGUUAGGUAGGUCCGUUGUGAAAACUCGAGGCUCAACCUCGAGACGCCGAUGGAAACCAUCUAACUAGAGUCCGGAAGAGGAGAGUGGAAUUCCUGGUGUAGCGGUGAAAUGCGCAGAUAUCAGGAGGAACACCGAUGGCGAAGGCAGGUCUCUGGGCCAUUACUGACACUGAGAAGCGAAAGCAUGGGGAGCGAACAGG